rnacentral:rRNA from 1 species
UCGUGGACUGAUUUGUCUGGUUGAUUCCGAUAACGAGCGAGAUCUUAACCUGCUAACUAGGUCCUCAGAAUGCGUUCUGAUGUAUCUUCUUAGAGGGACUUUGCAUAUUUAGUGUAAGGAGGUUUGAGGCAAUAACA